CCACCCGCUCCUUCACACAGCCGCCGCACCAUUCCUCCCUUCCGCCCCCUCCUCCUUCCCGGAUCCCCACCACGGGACCGACCUGCAGGCAAAGGGCAACAGCGGCGGCGCUCAGUUAGAUCUGUAGGAGAGAGAAGAUGAGAGGGAGAGAGAGGAGGGAGAAAGAGAGCAAGAGGAGAGGAGGCACGGCGUCGGAUGGGAGAGUGGCCAACCCGGCUCGCGUCGGCUGGGGCCGCACCCCUCCCUGAAGGGCGGCGAUGAUGGAGGGAUCCACGGCGCCAUCCAGGCUCCCGACCGACGGACUCGCUGGGUCGCCGCCCAUCCCGUGCGGCGGGGACAUCCACGGCGGCGCGGGCUGGGGACCGAGCGGCGGGGCCCGUGGUGCGUUCGGUCGAGGGAUUGGUCGGGCCGGCGCGGGCUCUUAGCCGCCGUCGAUGGAUUUCUCGCAGCCUGGCUACCUGUUGCUUUGGAUCCGAGAGUGAGUCAAGUGACAUACAUACACAAGAAAUAUUUAGUUAUGAGGAUUGAAGAAAUUAAUGAUCAUUCAGUCAUUGAGGAUUUGAGAAGAGACAUCAAUGUUCCAGUAGAGGUGUUAUUGAAGUUGUGGCUGUCAAUAGUCCUUUUAUUGAUGCUAAGUAUAUGGUAAGGAAAUAAUGCUAUAUGAUUUGCAUAUUUUUUGCUAUGAGAACUUCUGCAACUGAAACUCAAAGUUUAGGUGUUGAACUCAUAGUUUUGCAGUAGUUAGUUUUGUACUACUUUGUAUCAAAAUUGCAUCAGACCAUGCUGCACUGUAUUUUGAGCAUAGAAAAAUUACUUAACACCUUUAAUUUACAGAGCCUCACGUGUUUCAAGUAUGAAUAAGAACUACGAACUCUUUUUGUGCGAUUUAAAUACAUUUCCAGAGUUUUUAUUUGUUAGUACAUGUUGUCUAAAGUAACAUUUGCCCAGAGAGAGAAGCAUGCCCCUCUCUCGUUAUUAUUAUUAUUAUUAGAAGGUAUUAAAUUCAAAAUAAACAAUUUCAUUUACUUGAAGCACUUGAAAAGUUUGGUCGGUUGACUCCAGGUAUGAGCAGCUCCCGAGCUUGAUGGCUGGAUGUGUGCACACAUGUAAUGGGGUAUCAUGGUCAUGUUGCUUGGUGUGCAGAGGCAACCUCAUUUUUGGACCAAAAAGAGGGGCGAUGACGAUGAUGACUGGCUGAAACAAUCAUGUCUUGAGCAAUCAAGAUAGCCUUGGCUUGUGGGACUAAACAGAGCUGAAAAAGUCGGUGUCACCAUUGGAGUUUCCCUUAGAGCCUACCCUUACCUCUGUUGUAGCCUGCUUAAUUUUAUUGCCGAUGUUGGAUGAUAUGUGCCUUGGACGGUCGUUCUGAUGAGUGAUACUCUCGGACCAGGUCUAUUUCAACACACACGAACCCAUUGACCUCCCAUGUUCCUGGGGAGCGUUGCAUGUCGGAAAAUUUAGGGGUUGUGUCACACAAAGUUCUGCAUUGACACUUAGAAAGUAAGUGAAAAGCGAUAUGCCGUUUUUUGAGGCUAUCUACAAUCCCGUUAAAAGGCAACUGCUAAACACUAAAGGGCAAUGGAACUCAAUUUGUCGGUAUUCGCAGUUUGAUAAAUUAUAUUAGUAGUAUUUCUUGGAUUUAUAUAAGAAAAACAAAAAUAGUUACCUUUGUGUGAAUUACAGUGCUAAUGAUAAAUUCUUUGUAUCAGACAUGAAUGGACAUAUUCAAGAUUUCCUUUCACCUAGGCUUGGUUAGUUGGCCACUUCAAUUCCCACUUUCUGUCAUGUAAUCUUGAUGUCGAUAUUUCGACAUUACAUACAGAAUAUGAUGCAUUAUGUAGAAGUUACUAAUGGUCAAAAAAAUUCUGGAUAUGACACUUGCUUACUCCUAUUCACAUUAUGUAGAAGUUGCAUAAGGCAGAACAAGAAUAAGAACAUUUGUCAGUUUUUUCAUGUGCUGGUUCAGCAGCGGGCAAUGCUCACGACAGAGUUGGGCGUACAUCAUAUAUAUACAUAUGUUGUCGUGUCUUAAUAAAUGGAGAUGAGAUAUCUAUCCGACUGUCAUCCUUCCCAGACUUGGGUUUGUCAUCUCUGUCGGCGUCCACCUGCGCUUCCUUCAUUGGUUGUCAUUUCUUUGUACACUGCUGUAAUUUAGAGAUCAUAAUAUAUUUUCCAUGGAUACAAUUGAAUACGACACCCAAUUUGCUAUAUAAUUGUUCAGCUCUCUCUCAUAGCGAUUCAUACAAAAUAUCAUGCAUAAUGGUCCCAGCUUAAGUAGAAAAUAACCAUUGGAUUGUUCAAACUUUGCUCGUGUUUCGCAGGGCACCAUAACUCUAAUCCGACAUGAGCAGUCCAACCACGACAGUGAGCAGUGGAACCGCAAGAUAGAGAUAGAUACAAGUAGAAUAUAACUGGUCAUAUUUCUAAAAUGAUCACACUACUUAUGGUGCCGGAAGAGAAGGCAUCAGUGAUAGUGGGCUAGGUGAUGAGGGCAUCAAUACAAAGAGAUUAAUUCACAACUUUGUUCUUGAUAGGUUGUACAAAUAUACAAGGUACUACUGUUUCCUUUUAUGUUUAAAUAGCUUUGUGAGUACAACUAUAUGAAAAUUCUGCGAUUCAUGGUGCGGAAGCGGGCAUCUUUGUUUCCCUGACCAAAAAUUCUUAGUUUCAUGCCUCCACGGUAUAAUUUAGAGGCACAGUCCAAUGAGAGAUUCCUACUUAGCUAGCUAAUAUAUAACGUUUGAUGGUACUGUCUUGUGUUGUAAAUACAAGAUAUGCUACAUGAGCAUUACUUUUAUUUUGAAUUUAAUUUUGUGUUUGAGCCUCUUUUACAUAUUAAGUGUAAUAUCACAGACUUUCUUCUUUCAGGGUUAACUGGCCAUGCAAAAACUGUUGUGAGGCAUUAAAUGGUACUAUAUGUUUUUGGCCUGCUUUUGUUCACUUUUGUCCUUUCCAAAGUGUAAUAAGAAAAGAAAGUCAAAAUAGGCUCAACCAUGACUACUCUGCUCUUGUGAUCACCAAUUUCUGCUCCAUUGCGCACAAGAAAGUAGUGACUAUUUAUUUGCUUAAACAAUAUGUCCAACCACCAAUUUCUGCCUGUCCUGCUAAUACUCCUUUAUGGAUGUAUCGCACAAAUUUCAGUUAUUAGAUAUGAAAUGUAGGUUCUCUACACAGAGCUGGGUCCAAUGGUCAAUGCAGCUCUAUGUUGUGCUAUCUUGCUAUUGGGCUCUUUUUUCGUUACUUAAAAUGGACAUAUAUCUCUGAUGUUAAAUUCGUGCUUCAUUGCUUAUAUCCAAAAUAACCAUGUUAGUACACUGAAGCCAAUUUCUACAUUGUUAGUGAAGUUGGCUAAAUAGUUUUUGCGCCACUAAGAUAUAUAUGUGCACUGCAUUCUAACCCUGCAAAUUGUUGUGCUAUUAGUUUAAUCCAAAAUAUAAUUAUGUUUGUGUCUCGACAUAUGCUUGUGAUGCGUCGUGCUACCAGAGGCCAACAUUAUCCAGUAUCAUAGCGACGCUAAAAAUGCCUAUUGGUUACUCCGCAUAUUCUCAUCUGAUUUCUCAUAUAUAGAUAUUAAUUUCCUUUCAUGGGAGGCCUUCAUUACAUUUCAGCGGCAGUUGCGGAUGUGGUCGGCGGUUGAGGGAGGGUCUCCGACUAGAGCAGCAGGAGCAAGGAGCUCAAGGAGGUUCAGUUUGCUGGUCCAUAUUAAUUUCCUCGAGCUUAUUUUCACAUCUCGUCAUAUUUACACCUCUCCGCCGACUGCCACCUAUCAUGGAGGGAGAUGGCUUGGCCAGGCCGUCAAGACCCAUCGGCAACUUCCAGCAGGCGUCGUCCCGUACUUCUGCAUGAUAUUCCUCUUGUUGCAACCUUUUCCCAUAGAAUCAAAAGGAAUUAGAUUGAAGAAAUUGCAGGAGAGCAGGAAGGGUAUUCCUGGUGUGACAUUCAAAAGCAGUCAAAACGGUGAGGUUUAGAACGGAGGAGCUCCGUGGAAUUAUGGAUAAAAAAUUAUCCAUAACAUGUCUGUCAUUUCUCAUGUCGACCAAGGUAUGUGACCGAGCAGUGACAGUUGUCUCUAAUUAUCAAUUUUAUAUAGAGUCUUCUUGAUUGAUGAUUUUGUAGCCUUCUCUUAGUUGUACCAUAUUAAUUCUUAAAACUGGAUCAUUUAAAAUUAGUUAGAUUUAAUGAGUUGUUCCACUGUUUCCAAAUAAGUAGUUUAAGCCCUUAUUGUGUUCUGGAGCUUAUUCUUUCUGCCUUUUUAUGAUUGAUAUAUGCUCUCACAAGCUUAAAUGUAACUAUUGACAUAUAAUCUCAUGGCUCAAAGUCAUAGUUGAAUGUAUUAAAAUUUAUAAGAUUUGGAGUUUGCACUAUAAUUUCAUCCAGCGGUAUUCCCAAUAACUGAAUGUUAAGAGCACUGACGAUCCCAGGCUGUACAUUCAUGUACUGGGAAAUGCUUUUAUCUUGCACGCCAGUUUUACAUUUAUUUUUCAAUAACAAGAUGACCAUGAACAGGGUAUCAAGGUAUUUGCCUUGGCAUUACUAAUGUCGUGUUCAGAUUACUAAAAGAAGGAUUGAUAGCGGCAUACCUUAACUCGACUGAUGCUUUAACUACUGCCUCUCUAAGCCUUGAUUAGCCAUGGAGAUACUCAAGUUCCAAAGCCCCAAGUGAGGCUAUCCUUCUAAGAUCCGUUCAUCCCAAUUCAUUAAUUUGUUUGAAAUAUAUAUAUAUGUAUAUUCCAAUAUUGCUCAAUCUCCAGCUGGCCUCUAGGUUAUCAGAUGAAAUCCGGUUAAAUUUUAGGGAGGUUGAGUAGGAGUGUUUGGAACUAAAGGCUUUGUUGUUGUUUGAGUAGGAUUAUCUCCCUUUUCUGUAUAAAUUUUGUUGCUAUGAAUAGUUGCAUUGUUACGUCAAUGAAAAGUUCCUGGGCGUACUAUGUGUUCCUCUAGACUUGGUUGAAAGUAUUCCUUCUGUUAUCCAGUUUCUCACUACGCAUGUUACCUUUGUUGCUGAAUUUUGCCUAUAGUUUAUAUAUAGUAGACUCACAUGAUUACCUGAUGACUCAUUCAUGCAAGAACUAUUGUUAAUUUUUUCCUUUUCUGCAAUGAUGGUCGUAGUCCUUUGAUUCUACCAGCCGCAAAGGAGUGAAUGUAGAAAAUAUGUCCAUUGUCGUUGAAUUGGUGGGAUUGUCACCAAGUUAGUGCCGCAGAUUUCUAUUUUAGAGCAAGAAGCCAAAUCAUGUAGUUUCAUUGUAAAUCUUGAAAAACUUGUUUAUUGUCACUUCUAUAUCUGUUACAAGCUUUUUUUUUCAUGAUGUGGUACUUGUCAAUCUUGGUUUGCCCUUCCAUUUCAAGUCUGCCCUUAAAUUCCAGCAGACCAAAAAGUCCUUGUUUCUUCAAUUGGUUUCUCGUUUCAUGUUUGCACUUCUAUUACAGUACAAUAUUUCAUAAACAUGGCAUUGGUCAUUAUUUGUCCAGUUCCCUUCAAAAAAAGAAGAGAUGGCUAUAGAGAGUUGAUCCUUCUACAUAACAGAGCAGAGGAGUGGGAACUAUAAACAUGCCUCACUGAAGAGAUGAAAAAUGUUGUGCAAGGCAUUGGUUGUUAAGCUCCUUUAAAAAUGAAGGAAUUAUAGUGCAUCUGACCUAUAAAGGGGUUGUGAGGGACAAAACGCUAUGGAUUCAGAGUAGUGGGAGGGCACAGUUUACCAACGACGCAAGGACAAAGCGUGACCUUGAUUCCAAAGUUCCAGCUCACAUAGCAGAAUUGUAUAGAGAGGAUGCCUGCAUUUUGAAAACUCUGUUACAUAGUUUGAGGCUAUGUUUCUUUCAAUUUUCAUUAUUAAAAGGAUCCUUAUUAUUGCCAAAUUGUCAAUUAUUUUCAAAUAGCUCUUGGUUUGAAAUGGGACCAUGUGCCAUCUAGCGCAAUGGGUACUGUUAUUAUACAUUCUAUUAUUGACAACAAGCCUUCAUUGUUUUU